GACGAACGCUGGCGGCGUGCCUAAUACAUGCAAGUCGAACGCAGUUUCGAACGGGUGAGUAACGCGUAGGUAACUGCCUCAUCGCGGGGGCUAACUAUUGGAAACGAUAGCUAAUACAGCAUCCUGUGAGAUGGACCUGCGUUGUAUUAGCUAGUUGGUGAGGUAAAGGCUCACCAAGGCGACGAUACAUAGCCGACCUGAGAGGGUGAUCGGCCAAACGGGCAAUGAGACACGGCUCAGACGCCUACGGCAGGCAGCGGAAGGGACUGUGCGGCAAUGGACGGAAGUGUGACCGAGAUACGCCGCGUGAGUGAAGAAGGUUUUCGGAUCGUAAAGGUUUGAUGUUUGAUACGCGGUAACUAACCAGAAAGGGACGGCUAACUACGUGCCAGCAGCCGCGGUAAUUC
rnacentral:rRNA from 1 species